AAGCGUUGUUCGGAAUUAUUGGGCGUAAAGCGCGUGUAGGCGGUUUGUUAAGUCUGGUGUGAAAGCCCUGGGCUCAACCUGGGAAGUGCAUUGGAUACUGGCAAACUUGAGUACGGGAGAGGAUAGUGGAAUUUCGAGUGUAGGGGUGAAAUCCGUAGAUAUUCGAAGGAACACCGGUGGCGAAGGCGGCUAUCUGGACCGAUACUGACGCUGAGACGCGAAAGCGUGGGGAGCAAACAGGAUUAGAUACCCUGGUAGUCCACGCCGUAAACGAUGGGCACUAGGUGUCGCGGGUAUUGACCCCUGCAGUGCC
rnacentral:rRNA from 1 species